UCCAGAGUGGUACAGUGGUUUGAGCUCUGGACUAUGACUCUGGAUACCUAGGUUCAAAUCCCUGCUAGGUCA